rnacentral:other from 1 species
GAAUUCCUGAGGUGUGCGCGAGUCUCCAGUUUUUACCCACAUUUUCACAACCGGAGUCUGCGUCGGCGCAUGGAUGUCAUGCCCCCGUGUUAUCACGCCAGGGGACGGCAGCAAGUGAGCCGCAGGGCACCGACCUGCCGAGCGGCGGGUGAAAAAACGGCGACGGACGGCACUUUGGGAUUUUC